ACACAAGCAACUUUACUCUCCCUGCUCAUCACUUACCACCAAAAUAAAAUAUGACCAAAACAUUACUUCUAUGGAUUUUUUUAUUGAUCAGCAUCCUCAUGUUUUCAACUACUGGGAGCACAUUUACUACAAAAAUUGAAGAUCUUGGGACUUCCAGGCAACAAAAGGAAACCAAAACCAUGUACGGUGUGAUCAUGGAAUCAAGCAAACCAAACACUCAAAGAAGAACAAAUCUAGGAUUGCAUGUUGUUCAACACACAAAGGUGUCACAGAAAGCAAAGACAAAUGGUGGAGGGAAUAACGUAAAGGAUCAUAAGGGGAAGAAUAGUGCAAGCACCUAUUCAAUCAACAAAUCUUCAUCCUUGUUCAUUCCCGUGAUGCUUUUGUUUGGUUACUUGUUUUGAAUUCCAAGGCUUAAAUUUAUUUACAGUGAAGGCACAACUAGUGAUGCUUAAUAACAUGAUGCCGCUAGUGGUACUUUGGAUUUGUAUCAUACAUGCAGACGUUCCUUCUUAGUUUGUGUAUUGUAACAUGUUCUCUGUGGGCUUAAUUCAGUAAGUCUCCUCUUAAAGGAUUUGUGGGUAUAUUUUGAAUGCUUGAUGAUGAAAUUGUGUGUGAAACUAAUGAAAAUAAAGUUUUACCGAACAA